CUCCUCCACCAUACUACUACAAAUCCCCACCACCACCAUCCCCAUCGCCUCCUCCACCAUACUACUACAAGUCCCCACCACCACCAUCUCCAUCACCCCCACCUCCAUACUACUACAAAUCCCCACCUCCACCGUCACCGUCUCCUCCUCCACCAUACUACUACAAAUCACCACCACCCCCAUCACCAUCACCGCCACCUCCUUACUACUACCACUCUCCACCACCCCCAUCACCAUCACCCCCACCUCCUUACUACUACCACUCUCCACCACCACCAUCACCAUCUCCCCCUCCUCCUUACUACUAUCACUCCCCACCACCACCAUCACCAUCUCCCCCACCUCCUUACUACUACCACUCCCCACCUCCACCCGUGAAGUCUCCUCCUCCUCCAUACUACUACAACUCAC
rnacentral:lncRNA from 1 species